rnacentral:rRNA from 1 species
UGGGGAAUCUUGCACAAUGGGGGAAACCCUGAUGCAGCCAUGCCGCGUGGAGGAAGACACCCCUAUGGGGCGUAAACUCCUUUUCUGAGAGAAGAAACCCCUGUAGGUUCAGGGUGUGACGGUAUCUCAGGAAUAAGCACCGGCUAACUCCGUGCCAGCAGCCGCGGUAAUACGGAGGGGGCUAGCGUUGUUCGGAAUCACUGGGCGUAAAGGGCGCGUAGGCGGACCACCAAGUCAGGGGUGAGCGCCCUGGGCUCAACCUAGGAAGUGCCCUUGAAACUGAUGGUCUUGAGUCCGGGAGAGGAGAGCGGAAUUCCCAGUGUAGAGGUGAAAUUCGUAGAUAUUGGGAAGAACACCGGUGGCGAAGGCGGCUCUCUGGACCGGCACUGACGCUGAGGCGCGAAAGCGUGGGGAGCAAACA